UACGUAGGGUGCAAGCGUUGUCCGGAAUUUAUUGGGCGUAAAGAGCUCGUAGGCGGUCUGUCACGUCGGCUGUGAAAAUCCCGAGGCUCAACCUCGGGUCUGCAGUCGAUACGGGCAAACUAGAGUAUUGCAGGGGAGACUGGAAUUCCUGGUGUAGCGGUGAAAUGCGCAGAUAUCAGGAGGAACACCGGUGGCGAAGGCGGGUCUCUGGGCAAUAACUGACGUGAGGAGCGAAAGCGUGGGGGAGCGAACAGG
rnacentral:rRNA from 1 species